rnacentral:rRNA from 1 species
UACGUAGGGUGCAAGCGUUAAUCGGAAUACUGGGCGUAAAGCGUGCGCAGGCGGUGAUGUAAGACAGGGUGUGAAAUCCCCCGGGCUUAACCUGGGAACUGCAUUUGUGACUGCAUCGCUGGAGUGCGGCAGAGGGGGAUGGAAUUCCGCGUGUAGCAGUGAAAUGCGUAGAUAUGCGGGAGGAACACCGAUGGCGAAGGCAAUCCCCU